rnacentral:rRNA from 1 species
GACGAACGCUGGCGGCGUGCCUAAUACAUGCAAGUUGAGCGAUGAAGAUUGGUGCUUGCACCAAUUUGAAGAGCAGCGAACGGGUGAGUAACGCGUGGGGAAUCUGCCUUUGAGCGGGGGACAACAUUUGGAAACGAAUGCUAAUACCGCAUAACAACUUUAAACAUAAGUUUUAAGUUUGAAAGAUGCAAUUGCAUCACUCAAAGAUGAUCCCGCGUUGUAUUAGCUAGUUGGUGAGGUAAAGGCUCACCAAGGCGAUGAUACAUAGCCGACCUGAGAGGGUGAUCGGCCACAUUGGGACUGAGACACGGCCCAAACUCCUACGGGAGGCAGCAGUAGGGAAUCUUCGGCAAUGGACGAAAGUCUGACCGAGCAACGCCGCGUGAGUGCAGUAGGUUUUCGGAUCGUAAAACUCUGUUGGUAGAGAAGAACGUUGGUGAGAGUGGAAAGCUCAUCAAGUGACGGUAACUACCCAGAAAGGGACGGCUAACUACGUG